UUUAUGUUUAUAUAUUGUGGGUUAGGAUUUGGGUCGGAUGCAGCGACCAGUUUAAUUCGUCGCAGUACACCUAUGAUAUUUCCACAGAACGCCCUCUGCGGUCUUGGUGUUUAGUAUGUACGUUUUAAGACUUUGAAUUCAAAAAAACCCUUCUCAUAUUGUGUCUUUUUUUACCCGCAACAAUUAUGACAUCAAUUCUAGUAGGCGCUUUUUGGAUGCAGAAAGGAUUGUGAACAACAUCAUAACAUGGUAUUCGAACAUAGAGUAUCGAAAGCAUGGUGAAUCAUUUUUUGGGGAAAGGGAUCUCCCCAGCGGCCAUCAGGGAAAUAUAAGGGUGCAAGUGUGGAUGCAGUAUAUCCUCAAAAGUAGAUUAAAGUGAAUUCAAGUGUUGUUUUGUCAAGUGAUCUUGGGAGAAUACAGAGGAAGCUGCGCUAAGGUCUACACAAUCUCAUACCUGUUUGAUAUGUAUGAUCUUUGGGCUGGACGGCAAGCUAUCUGCAAAGAAUUACACUAUCUGGAUUGAAUAUGAGCCUAUGUCUUGCCUAUGAAUUCACUAAGCAUCAGGAUGAUUUUUGGUUCAGAAGUGCAUUAUCAGUUGUUAUCAAAGUUUCAAGUUUGGGGAUAACGAAAAUUUAGAAAUCCAAGCAUCUCAACAACUUGAAUUUUGAAUGUCUGGGCCAUAGAAAUGAAAAUAUGGCUCAGAAGAGUAUAUAAUGAUUGCCUCUGAUGAGUUGUUUCUAGUUCGGGGCAUUGUUUGGUUUGAAGCUUAGUCUGUCAAGUAUCAUGGCAAAGAUGGACUUACAGGUGUCCUCCACUUGAGAAAUUUUCUGUUUGGCACUAAAAGAGAAGAUUGCCUGGGCCCAAACUUCUCAAAGUCUGAAGAGGUACAACAUAGGUUUUCAAGCAAAGACAUGACUUCUCCUCAUGGCAAAAUAUGACCACAUUGAAGAAGAGAUCGAUGCCAUAAGAGCUGGACAAGUUAUUAUGCUGCCAACUAAAAUCCUUUAUGGAUUUGGUUGCAUGGUAAGUGAUUGAGGUUUCCUCUCAAAUGCUGCAGAUGGUUUGUUUUUUCUCCCUUUGUCUCUGAUGUGCUUGUUGUUUGUUAUUCUUGUGAGGUAUUCCAGUUCACUUGCACUCAAAAACUUCUUUUAGACGAAAUUCAAAUUAGUACCUUCUUUU